rnacentral:tRNA from 1 species
GUCCCUGUAGCUUAAACCAAAGCAUGACACUGAAGCUGCCAAGAUGGAUCUUUUUUUCCCAAGGAC